rnacentral:rRNA from 1 species
AGUGAACGCUAGCGGCGCGCCUGACACAUACAAGUCGAGUGGGUUUAGACCCACGGCAAACGGCUGCGUAACACGUUGGAACCUUCCCCGAACUCAGGGAUAACCCUCCGAAAGGAGGAGUAAUACCGGAUAGUCCCGAAAGGGUAAAGAUUUAUCGGUUCGUGAGGGGCCUGCGGCCUAUCAGCUAGUUGGUGAGGUAACGGCUCACCAAGGCAAUGACGGGUAGCUGAUCUGAGAGGAUGGUCAGCCAGAAUGGAACUGCGACACGGUCCAU